UACGUAGGGGGCAAGCGUUGUCCGGAAUCAUUGGGCGUAAAGAGCGUGUAGGCGGCCUGGUAAGUCCGCUGUGAAAGUCCAGGGCUCAACCCUGGAAUGCCGGUGGAAACUGUCAGGCUCGAGUCCGGAAGAGGCGAGUGGAAUUCCUGAUGUAGCGGUGAAAUGCGCAGAUAUCAGGAGGAACACCAAUGGCGAAGGCAGCUCGCUGGGACGGUACUGACGCUGAGACGCGAAAGCGUGGGGAGCAAACAGG
rnacentral:rRNA from 1 species